rnacentral:rRNA from 1 species
AGAGUUUGAUCAUGGCUCAGAUUGAACGCUGGCGGCAUGCCUUACACAUGCAAGUCGAACGGCAGCGGACCUUCGGGUGCCGGCGAGUGGCGAACGGGUGAGUAAAGUAUCGGAACGUACCUUUCAGUGGGGGAUAACGUAGCGAAAGUUACGCUAAUACCGCAUAUUCUGUGAGCAGGAAAGCAGGGGAUCGCAAGACCUUGCGCUGAUUGAGCGGCCGAUAUCAGAUUAGCUAGUUGGUGAGGUAAAAGCUCACCAAGGCGACGAUCUGUAGCGGGUCUGAGAGGAUGAUCCGCCACACUGGAACUGAGACACGGUCCAGACUCCUACGGGAGGCAGCAGUGGGGAAUUUUUGGACAAUGGGGGCAACCCUGAUCCAGCCAUGCCGCGUGAGUGAAGAAGGCCUUCGGGUUGUAAAGCUCUUUCGGCCGGGAAGAAAUCGUGUGGGCUAAUAUCCCAUAUGGAUGACGGUACCGGAGUAAGAAGCACCGGCUAACUACGUG